GCUGGUGUCGCUCAGUGCUUAGAGCGUUGGCCUGGGCACCCAGGGUCGUGGGUUCGAUUCCCGAUCAAGGGCA
rnacentral:tRNA from 1 species